rnacentral:rRNA from 1 species
GUCUAUGGCCAUACCACCCAGAAGGGACCCUAUCUUGUCUGAUCUCAGAACCUAAGUGGGUCAGGCCUAGUUAGCACUUGGAUGGGAUAAAGUAAUUAACAAGGAGCUGAGUGUA